UGUUAAGGAACGAAGGCUAAGAACGCAACAUCCUGUUGCAACGCCUUCAUGACCUACAUCCUGUAGG
rnacentral:sRNA from 1 species